GGGUGAUUAGCUCAGCUGGUUAGAGCAUCACAUUGACAUUGUGAAGGUCACUGGUUCGAGUCCAGUAUCACCCA
rnacentral:tRNA from 1 species